CGCAACUCUCAUUACAAAAGGGCAGCACGACCGCUGUGAAUCCUUUGUACUUCAAGCCGUGUCUAACCCAAGACAACAGGAUCUUAUUGGUGCCAUCAAGACGGAUCAACUGCAGCUGCAAUGUUCAUGUUGGGACUUAUCCCGGUGAGAGGUUGUCCGAUGCCAUCUCCACGGCUAGCUGUACGGUGACGUCCAGAAGAUCGGUGCUCGUGUGAAAGCCCUGUCGGAGGACCCGAAACUAAGUUAAGUUCUUGUGUGUCUUAUGGGGUGUGAAACGGAAACAUAUUGUAGAGAUGGUCUGGGACUAACUUGUCGGCAUGAUAGGAAGUAAACAAUUUGUGCGGUCUCUUAUGUAUUAAACUAUAGGCCGGUGUCUCUGACAUCGGUCUGUGGUAAAGUGC